CUGUGGUCACCUGACUGAACCCAACGCCCUGAAGAACUGGCCAUGUUUUACCGUCUAUAAAACCAAUGGCCCUCUGGGCACACUUCACUUACUCUAAAUCUGAACUGUAAAACUGUCCCCUCUCAACUGGGAAACAUAUUCUUUCCUGCUGUUGUAGCAUCUUCCAAUCUCAUCUCUCUCUCUCUCUGAGAAUAAACAUCACAUCCCAGGAAGUAGCUAGGUAACUGUAGAAUAAACAUCACAUCCCAGGAAGUAGCUAGCUAACUGUAGAAUAAACAUCACAUCCCAGGAAGUAGCUAGCUAACUGUAGAAUAAACAUCACAUCCCAGGAAGUAGCUAGCUAACUGUAGAAUAAACAUCACAUCCCAGGAAGUAGCUAGCUAACUGUAGAAUAAACAUCACAUCCCAGGAAGUAGCUAGCUACCUGUAGAAUAAACAUCACAUCCCAGGAAGUAGCUAGCUAACUGUAGAAUAAACAUCACAUCCCAGGAAGUAGCUAGCUAACUGUAGAAUAAACAUCACAUCCCAGGAAGUAGCUAGCUAACUGUAGAAUAAACAUCACAUCCCAGGAAGUAGCUAGGUAACUGUGAAAAUAAACAUCACAUCCCAGGAAGUAGCUAGCUAACGAUUGAAUAAAUAUCACAUCCCAGGAAGUAGCUAGGUAACUGUGAAAAUAAACAUCACAUCCCAGGAAGUAGCUAGCUAACGAUUGAAUAAACAUCACAUCCCAGUGAAGUAGCUAGAUAGCUAACGAUUUAAUAAAUAUCACAUCCCAGGAAGUAGCUAGGUACUCUGUAAAAAUAAACAUCACAUCCCAGGAAGUAGCUAGGUACCUGUAGAAUAAACAUCACAUCCCAGUGAGUAGCUAGCUAGCUGUAGAAUAAAUAUCACAUCCCAGGAAGUAGCUAGCUAACUGUAGAAUAAACAUCACAUCCCAGUGAGUAGCUAGCUAGCUAACGAUUGAAGAAACAUCACAUCACAGGAAGUAGCUAACUAACAAUUGAAUAAACAUCACAUCCCAGUGAGUAGCUAGCUAGCUAACGGUUGAAUAAACAUAAUGAGCGUCAGGUAGUAGCUAGCUAGCUAGCUAAAGGUAGCAGCAUGAGGGACAGGAAGUAGUUAUUUCCUACUGGUGUUGAAUCUGCCAAUCUCAUCUCUUACUCUCCCCUAUUGGUUCACACCGGAUCCUCUGACAUUGUGUCUGUAUUCACAGUGUUGUCUCCUUUCCAUUGGGAUUCACAUCCUCCGUUCUUAUCCUCUUAGGGGUUAACAGGCUAACACUCUGACUCUAUAAUGUUCUACUGUAUAUAAAAACAUCACAACUCUGGGUGCUUGGGGUAAUCUUGAUCAAUCACAGCCCCCUCUAUCCUCUCCCUAUCCCUCUGUUCUCUCUCUAACCUCUGAUGUUAAAGUUGGGCCACUUCUCCUCGGCCGGGACAGUCAGUAGCAGUAGCAUGUCGGUGUCUGCGGUCCAUGUUCGGCUUUAUCCCCGUUCAGUCAUGUCCAUAAGCAUGCAGCUUGUACCACCACACCGUGCAGUGUGUCUCCUGCAGUGUCGUACUGUACUGUGGGUUUUUUGGACGUUGAGAUGUGCUCGGUCUGUGGUGCACAACGCAUGUUGUGGUUUUGGAUGAUGAUAUGAUUGGAUACGACAUGUGCAUUCAUCCUCAGUGUAUCAGUUCUACUGUUAGUCCAUCCGUCUAACCCCCUGACCUCUUAACCUCUGACGU